UCCGGAUCCGUUNCGCAGAGUUUGAUCGUGGCUCAGAUUGAACGCUGGCGGCAUGCCUUACACAUGCAAGUCGAACGGCAGCGGGGGAGAAGCUUGCUUCUCCUGCCGGCGAGUGGCGAACGGGUGAGUAAUACAUCGGAACGUGCCCUGUAGUGGGGGAUAACUAGUCGAAAGAUUAGCUAAUACCGCAUACGACCUGAGGGUGAAAGUGGGGGACCGCAAGGCCUCAUGCUAUAGGAGCGGCCGAUGUCUGAUUAGCUAGUUGGUGGGGUAAAGGCCCACCAAGGCGACGAUCAGUAGCUGGUCUGAGAGGACGAUCAGCCACACUGGGACUGAGACACGGCCCAGACUCCUACGGGAGGCAGCAGUGGGGAAUUUUGGACAAUGGGCGAAAGCCUGAUCCAGCAAUGCCGCGUGUGUGAAGAAGGCCUUCGGGUUGUAAAGCACUUUUGUCCGGAAAGAAAUGGCUCUGGUUAAUACCUGGGGUCGAUGACGUACCGAA
rnacentral:rRNA from 1 species